rnacentral:rRNA from 1 species
GAUAAACGCUGGCGGCGUGCCUAAUACAUGCAAGUCGAGCGAACAGAUGAGGAGCUUGCUCCUCUGACGUUAGCGGCGGACGGGUGAGUAACACGUGGAUAACCUACCUAUAAGACUGGGAUAACUUCGGGAAACCGGAGCUAAUACCGGAUAAUAUAUUGAACCGCAUGGUUCAAUAGUGAAAGACGGUUUUGCUGUCACUUAUAGAUGGAUCCGCGCCGCAUUAGCUAGUUGGUAAGGUAACGGCUUACCAAGGCAACGAUGCGUAGCCGACCUGAGAGGGUGAUCGGCCACACUGGGACUGAGACACGGUCCAGACUCCUACGGGAGGCAGCAGUAGGGAAUCUUCCGCAAUGGGCGAAAGCCUGACGGAGCAACGCCGCGUGAGUGAUGAAGGUCUUCGGAUCGUAAAACUCUGUUAUUAGGGAAGAACAAAUGUGUAAGUAACUAUGCACGUCUUGACGGUACCUAAUCAGAAAGCCACGGCUAACUACGUG